AUAGCACUGAUAAACUAAGAUCAAGUUUAGUAUCUGUUUUAUCAGUUUAAUAUGUAAUGUGCUUGUCCAUCGGACGGCAGGAUAUUAAAUUAAUUUUUAUUAAGAUCGAGUUCUCAUUCAGUAGCUUGAUGCUGGGAUUCUCAGGCGUCGCCUCUCCGUUGCACUACUGCAAAGGCCUGGUGCACCCCUA